rnacentral:rRNA from 1 species
GACGAACGCUGGCGGCGUGCUUAACACAUGCAAGUCGAACGGAAAGGCCCUGCUUUUGUGGGGUGCUCGAGUGGCGAACGGGUGAGUAACACGUGAGUAACCUGCCCUUGACUUUGGGAUAACUUCAGGAAACUGGGGCUAAUACCGGAUAGGAGCUCCUGCUGCAUGGUGGGGGUUGGAAAGUUUCGGCGGUUGGGGAUGGACUCGCGGCUUAUCAGCUUGUUGGUGGGGUAGUAGCCUACCAAGGCUUUGACGGGUAGCCGGCCUGAGAGGGUGACCGGCCACAUUGGGACUGAGAUACGGCCCAGACUCCUACGGGAGGCAGCAGUGGGGAAUAUUGCACAAUGGGCGGAAGCCUGAUGCAGCAACGCCGCGUGCGGGAUGACGGCCUUCGGGUUGUAAACCGCUUUCGCCUGUGACGAAGCGUGAGUGACGGUAAUGGGUAAAGAAGCACCGGCUAACUACGUG